rnacentral:rRNA from 1 species
AUUGAACGCUGGCGGCAGGCUUAACACAUGCAAGUCGAGCGAGCGGCGGACGGGUGAGUAAUGUCUGGGAAACUGCCUGAUGGAGGGGGAUAACUACUGGAAACGGUAGCUAAUACCGCAUACCAUCAGAUGUGCCCAGAUGGGAUUAGCUAGUAGGUGGGGUAAUGUCUCACCUAGGCGACGAUCCCUAGCUGGUCUGAGAGGAUGACAAGCCAAACUGGAACGGAGACACGGUCCAGACUCCUACGGGAGGCAGCAGUGGGGAAUAUUGCACAAUGGGAGCAAGCCUGAUGCAGCCAUGCCGCGUGUGUGAAGAAGGCCUUCGGGUUGUAAAGCACUUUCAGCGAGGAGGCGUUACCCGCAGAAGAAGCACCGGCUAACUACGUGCCAGCAGCCGCGGUAAUAC